CCUACGGGGGGCUGCAGUCGAGAAUCUUCGGCAAUGCGCGCAAGCGUGACCGAGCGACGCCGUGUGUGGGAUGAAGGCCUUCGGGUUGUAAACCACUGUCGUAGAGGAGGAAGUUGAUUGGGGUUCUCCCCAGUCAUUGACCUAUUCUAGGAGGAAGGACGGGCUAAGUUCGUGCCAGCAGCCGCGGUAAUACGAACCGUCGAAACGUUAUUCGGAAUUACUGGGCUUGGAGGCUCCGGAGGCGGCGUGGGAAAGCCCUCGGCUCAACCGAGGAAUUGCGCCCGAUACUGCAGUGCUUGAGGGAGACAGAGGUAAGCGGAACUGAUGGUGGAGCGGUGAAAUGCGUUGAUAUCAUCAGGAACACCAGUGGCGAAAGCGGCUUACUGGGUCUCUUCUGACGCUGAGGUACGAAAGCUAGGGGAGCGAAGGGGAUUAGAUACCCGAGUAGUC
rnacentral:rRNA from 1 species